GGGGAAUAUUGCACAAUGGGGGAAACCCUGAUGCAGCGACGCCGCGUGAGUGAAGAAGUACUUCGGUAUGUAAAGCUCUAUCAGCAGGGAAGAAGAUGACGGUACCUGACUAAGAAGCCCCGGCUAACUACGUGCCAGCAGCCGCGGUAAUACGUAGGGGGCAAGCGUUAUCCGGAUUUACUGGGUGUAAAGGGAGCGUAGGUGGUGUGGUAAGUCAGAUGUGAAAGCCCGGGGCUCAACCCCGGGACUGCAUUUGAAACUAUCAUGCUUGAGUACAGGAGAGGUAAGUGGAAUUCCUAGUGUAGCGGUGAAAUGCGUAGAUAUUAGGAGGAACACCAGUGGCGAAGGCGGCUUACUGGACUGUAACUGACACUGAGGCUCGAAAGCGUGGGGAGCAAAC
rnacentral:rRNA from 1 species